rnacentral:rRNA from 1 species
GUGCCAGCAGCCGCGGUAAUACGUAGGGGGCAAGCGUUGUCCGGAAUUAUUGGGCGUAAAGGGCACGCAGGCGGUCCGGCAAGUCUGAUGUGAAAGGCCGUGGCUCAACCACGGAAUGGCAUUGGAAACUGCCAGACUUGAGUACAGAAGAGGAGAGUGGAAUUCCACGUGUAGCGGUGAAAUGCGUAGAGAUGUGGAGGAACACCAGUGGCGAAGGCGACUCUCUGGUCUGUAACUGACGCUGAGGUGCGAAAGCGUGGGGAGCGAACAGGAUUAGAUACCCUGGUAGUCC